AGUGAACGCUGGCGGCAGGCCUAACACAUGCAAGUCGAGCGGCAGCGCGGGGGCAACCCUGGCGGCGAGCGGCGGACGGGUGAGGAAUUCGUCGGAAUCUGCCUUUUUGUGGGGGAUAACGUAGGGAAACUUACGCUAAUACCGCAUACGUCCUACGGGAGAAAGUGGGGGACCGCAAGGCCUCACGCAGAAAGAUGAGCCGACGACCGAUUAGCUAGUUGGUGGGGUAAAGGCCCACCAAGGCGACGAUCGGUAGCUGGUCUGAGAGGAUGAUCAGCCACACUGGGACUGAGACACGGCCCAGACUCCUACGGGAGGCAGCAGUGGGGAAUAUUGGACGAUGGGCGCAAGCCUGAUCCAGCCAUGCCGCGUGUGUGAAGAAGGCCUUCGGGUUGUAAAGCACUUUUGUCCGGAAAGAAAUCCCUGGAGCUAAUACCUUCGGGGGAUGACGGUACCGGAAGAAUAAGCACCGGCUAACUUCGUG
rnacentral:rRNA from 1 species